rnacentral:piRNA from 1 species
UCUUUUGUUAUGGGCCACCGCUCUUGCCA